UACGGAGGGUGCAAGCGUUGUCCGGAUUUAUUGGGUUUAAAGGGUGCGUAGGCGGCCAUUUAAGUCUGGGGUGAAAGCCCGUUGCUCAACAACGGAACUGCCCUGGAAACUGGAUGGCUUGAGUACAGACGAGGAUGGCGGAAUAGAUGCUGUAACGGUGAAAUGCAUAGAUAGCAUCCAGAACCCCGAUUGCGAAGCAGCUGCCUAGACUGUAACUGACGCUGAGGCACGAAAGCGUGGGGAGCGAACAGG
rnacentral:rRNA from 1 species